GCCACACUUCCGUUUCCUGACAGCUCUACUGGUGUUAAUCAUCUAAAUAAAUAUCUUGUAAAGCUUGCUUUUGUGCGUUGAGGAUCCAGUGCAUGAAUGAAUGGGCACAUUUUGUUUGUUGCAAGUCAAUUUACAAAAGAAAAAGACAGAUUCCAAAUUCAAUAACACUUGUUUUGGACGUAUUUGUUUUUAUUAAUCUGUAGACGUGUAAAUCUUUUUGGUGAACUGAUAUCACAAUAAGUCCAUUAUAGUUUGAAUAGCACAGAUCUUAGAGUCCAAGGUUUUUCUUUUCAUGUUUCACCACAGAAAAUAUAGGAAUGGAAUACAUUUCGCUGGCCCCUCGAGUCUCAACACUUUUUGCAUUUCUUUAUGAUUCAGUGACGAAUCAUGGCAAAAUACACACAAGAUAUGACCUUAAGGUCAUUUUGAAAGUUGAACUAUUUGUGAUUUGUACAGCUUGAGAUAAAAGAUUCUUCAAGUGUCAGUUUUUUAACCAAGAUGUGGAGGAUUUUGAUCCUUUUAGCUCAAGGGCAACAAAGAAUUAAAUAGCUUAUUUAAAGCACACCAUCAGAUCCUAAUUAGUGGCCAUGAGUUCUGGACUACCUGAGGAUUUGGAGACAUUGGGUCGUGUUUGUACAUUCUUGAUAUGCUAUCAGUGAUCCAGACGCAAAUCUGGAAAGCUCUGCGCAGGAAAUGAAGAAACUUCUUGGCUACAAGUGAUGCAAAGAGCCUAGUGGACAGAUUGCUGCCCAUGUUUACAAACAGUGCCUUUAUUAAUAUAUAAUGCGAGAUUAAUGAAAGUCUAGUUCAAAGGUCAGAAUUUUAAUAGCGCAUUUAACAUUUAACACUUUUUCUGUGAAUCUAAUAUGGUUCAGACGACAGCGCUGUAAUUGAGAUAUAGUCUACAUCCGCAUUAAAACUGCAAUACUACGCUUGAAGUGGUAAUGUCAAGUGUCUCCCUUGAGCAAUGGCUGCGGACAGCAUUAACAUCUCUCUUUUCCUCUGCCUUGUCUCAGCGUCUGGUCUUGAUGGAUUGCCUGUGCACAUGAUGGAGCGGUGAGGAAGAGAUGAUGAAUUGGUCACGUCAAGCUCGUUCCUAAAGACAGCGGGGGCUUGAGGUAGAUGCCACCCAGCAGAACAGCCAAAACUAUGAUCUCAGAUCAGUUGCAUGUGUAAAGAAGCAAUGCAAUCCACCAUUCCACAGAAGGGUGUUGCAUAUGCCACUGAAAUCUGGAUAUCCACGGGCCUCUUUGAACAGGGAUUACCGUCCUCACAGUCCAGGAUUUAACUUUGAUGUGAGCACAGCGGUGGAUGCCAGAUGAUGAGGCCCAUCUGUGGUCUGGAUCUUUUAGGAUUUUAUGCUCACCUGCUUGAGAGGAUCCACGUUGUCACAGAUGUGAUCGUUCUGAGUCAGGCUGAUGGAUCAUUGCAUAUGCACAAAUCACAAUACAUAAUUAAAAGAUAAACAAAUAGUAGAAAGAAGAUAGUAACUGAUCAGAGUUCUCUACAAACUUGGGUUCCCAAAUGGGGGUUUUCACUGCGAUUCCAUAGAAUAACCAUUUUGGUUCCCCAAAGAACCUUAUUUGUUAGUGUGAUAAACAUUUGAAUUAUCGGAAAAAAAUGUUUUUACACUGUGUAGAACAUUUUGUCCAAUGGAAAGUUCCAAGGAUGUUAAAGGUUCUUUAUUCAAUUUAAAAUGCCAAUAAAGAACAUUUCUAUUUAAGAAUGAACAUGGUCAGUUUACAAUCUUUAGUACAGUAAUUCUGUAAUGCUUGGAAUACGAGAUUAAUAUUGCCUAGAAAACCCAGUGUACGUGAAGUGAAGUGCAAAGAGUUUCAAAAGGGAACGAGGACAAAACAAUAUACUAGACAUGUUUUUUUUUUUUUUUCUUUUAUCUUAUAGUGGGCGAGAAUGGAGGGCCUCGGAGCAAAGAGCACUCAUACGUUAUGAGUAUAUGCACAAUCCUCGCCCACAGUUUAGGAUGAAGUAGUUUAAGAUUAUACAAUUACUAAAGUUUUAAAGCAGAACAUAUAUGGCCAACCUGUAUAUCCUAAAACCAUCCAAAUGCAGUUUAGGCUAUUGUGGUUCUGUAGACACCGGUUUCUGGGAAUCAGUUUGUUAUGCUUGGCAACAGUUCUCCAACUUGACUACAGGAUGGAGCCUUGCAGAUUUGUGUAAUUCUAUAGAAAUCAGUGAUGUACAAUGAAGCUGAUUGUAUUUUCCAACCAGUUUCAAAGUUAUCAUCAGGUCAGAACUUGCAAACCACUUGAAAAUGUCAUGGUCGAUGCCUUUAAAUCUUCAAUUCUUUUCCGGUUACACAAGAGAAAGACCAUUUUUCUAGUUUAGUCUGUUGUGACGGUUGACCUCAUGAACAGAGGGAUUCUUCUUGGCACACUGGAGUGGGCUGCAGCUCUGGGUAUCUGCCACAUACCACCAAGCCCUCCGAUGUACAUGGCACUGUGUCUUUGGGCGUUUCUUCCGAGCAGAGCAACCGGCUAGCAUGGCAUCCAAACAACAACUGCCCACUCAGACCAAAACAAGCCACACUUCUUCUUCACUACGCUGGCAAACAGGCCAGCAAAACAAACAAACCAAGGGCAGUGGAAGUUCUGCCACUCCAUGUCACUGCGAGUAUCAUACAGUGGUUUUCAUAGACAAUCUGAAAGAAAUGUUGGAGGAAAAAAUGAUCUCAUGUUUGGCUGCCACAAAAUCUGAAUGUUUUGACAGUUACUGGUAAGCUAAUUUGGGUGGUCAUACUUAUCAGGAUGCAGAUCUGGAAUGGCCACAGACAACAUUUACAUCACUCCAUGCCAUUUCUUUCCAACAUAGCUGAGGUUUCACUGCGGCGUUACGGAAGGAUGACUGUUUAAAUGAUCAGUUUAUGCAAAUACUUCCUUAUUAAAUUCAGAUUGUUUUUUAAGUGUUCUUGAGAUCUUAUGCCAACAAGUUUAUAAAAGAAAGAAUGGCGACUUUUUGUCCACUUUUGAUUAUAUUGUAAAUUUGAUUGUAUAUUUUUACUGCAAAAUGUUUGCACACAUUCUGAUCAAUUAACUGCAUAAACAGCACUCCUUUAUGGAAUAGAGUAGCUUAAAAUGAAAUAAAUGUUUCAUCUUUAUUUGUGUUCACUCCGUUUUUAUUUUAUUCAUUUUUUUAAUCCGUUUUUCAUAUUGCCAGUGGCUGUCAAGUGUAAACACUAACAUAAUAUUAUAUUUCACUCAUGCUGUGAAGAUUUGUCAUAUAAUUUUGACAUAUUUUUCAAAUAUUUCCACAUUACAAUUGAACCACAUCCAUGAAUGGAAUAUUACAUUGAAUAAUCGUUUCUGAGUGAACCUUUCCUUUAAAGAAUAAAACCGUCAGGAGGCUAAAAAGAGGGGUGAAGAGAUGAGAGAGAGUGAGAGAGAGAGAAAGAGAGAGAGGAGAGAUUACCGCACUAAAAGCUUUUCUGCUCUGGCUAAAGGCUAAUGUUAUUGCCAUACUGAAGAAAUCUCCGGAGCUGAAGAAAAAAGCGCUGAGCUGAUUCAUAAAUGGACUGUGAGGAUCCUCUGGGACAAUAAUUAGACAAGUCUCAGGCUCAAUCUCGCUUCAUCCCGCAUGUUUUCUCUCUCAGAUGAUGGAUUUACAGCCUUGGCGUGGUCUGGGAAAUAAUUCAUCAGGUUUUAGUGAGAGUUUUAGCCGUUAAUUGAACAGUUCCUUACCUCAGCUCGGCAGCGCGCGAAACUCUAGUCCUACGCCAACGGUUCACAGCUCUUGAAUAUUAAGUAGAUCCCAAUGACGUCGCCGAUAGCUUUCCAAUGGGAAACGAGUCUCUUGUAAACUUUUGUUAAAUUAUUCUGACGUCGCCUACAGAACGUCCAAUAGCAAAAGCUUGAUCUUUAAAUAUUAAUUACGUGUUUCUGACGUCGCUUGGUAUUCGUCAACCGGCUAAUACAUGGAUCAUGAAUACUAAGUGGCAAACUUUCACCAUAGUAGGAUUGGUAAAUUCGCGUCGCAGUUCGAGGUUAAAUGACAUGAUCUGGAGAGGUUCACUUCAUUUCCAACAUCCUCAUGUGAACCAUCACAAUACUUGAUUUAAUGCGGGCACAGGCCGCCCCAGGACACAGCUGGACGGCAUCUGCGAAGCAUUUGGAUGUGAAGCGGGUGGGUGGGAGGUUCGGCUGUGGUGGGGAGGGUUCCUGGCACCGUGAUUUGGUAGAUAAACAGAAAUGAAAAUCACAUUGCCAGGGAUUUCCACCCCUGCGCAGUUCUCCAGGUGCCCCACAUCUACACCACCUCCCGCUGGUAUGUGUCCAGCUCCUGACCGGGUGUAUUUGGGAGAACCUGUAACAACAAGAGAUUUGUCUGAAUUAUUUAUCAUUCAUCAAAACUUACUUGCUCCAUCUAGGGAAUGAUUUUACUUUAAUAAGUCAAGCAUGACUACAUGAUAUUACUAAUGCUCAUACUUGGGGUUAUGGAUUUAAACAAACUCCUAACCAUAAGAAUAAAACUUUGGUUGCUUGCUUUUCUAAGAAAUCCGAAUUGUUUUGCCUGGUGGAUGAUAAAAUGUGCAAAUGAAUCCUUAGGCAAAGCGUGAAGUACCAAAAUAGAGCCCUUUUGACUUUGCAAUAGCAAUGUCCUGGCAACUC